UGAGUAACCUGCCCUUAACUCUGGGAUAAGCCUGGGAAACUGGGUCUAAUACCGGAUAUGACUCCUCAUCGCAUGGUGGGGGGUGGAAAGCUUUAUUGUGGUUUUGGAUGGACUCGCGGCCUAUCAGCUUGUUGGUGAGGUAAUGGCUCACCAAGGCGACGACGGGUAGCCGGCCUGAGAGGGCGACCGGCCACACUGGGACUGAGACACGGUCCAGACCUCCGUACGGGGAGCAG
rnacentral:rRNA from 1 species